rnacentral:rRNA from 1 species
GCAGUCGAGCGAACUGAUUAAGAGCUUGCUCUUAUGAAGUUAGCGGCGGACGGGUGAGUAACACGUGGGUAACCUGCCCAUAAGACUGGGAUAACUCCGGGAAACCGGGGCUAAUACCGGAUAAUAUUUUGCGCCUCAUGGCGCAAAAUUGAAAGGCGGCUUCGGCUGUCACUUAUGGAUGGACCCGCGUCGCAUUAGCUAGUUGGUGAGGUAACGGCUCACCAAGGCAACGAUGCGUAGCCGACCUGAGAGGGUGAUCGGCCACACUGGGACUGAGACACGGCCCAGACUCCUACGGGAGGCAGCAGUAGGGAAUCUUCCGCAAUGGACGAAAGUCUGACGGAGCAACGCCGCGUGAGUGAUGAAGGCUUUCGGGUCGUAAAACUCUGUUGUUAGGGAAGAACAAGUGCUAGUUGAAUAAGCUGGCACCUUGACGGUACCUAACCAGAAAGCCACGGCUAACUACGUGCCAGCAGCCGCGGUAAUACGUAGGUGGCAAGCGUUAUCCGGAAUUAUUGGGCGUAAAGCGCGCGCAGGUGGUUUCUUAAGUCUGAUGUGAAAGCCCACGGCUCAACCGUGGAGGGUCAUUGGAAACUGGGAGACUUGAGUGCAGAAGAGGAAAGUGCAAUUCCAUGUGUAGCGGUGAAAUGCGUAGAGAUAUGGAGGAACAGCAGUGGCGAAGCGACUCUUCUGGUCUGUAACUGACACUGAGCGCGAAAGCGUGGG